rnacentral:rRNA from 1 species
UUUAACUGAAGAGUUUGAUCAUGGCUCAGAUUGAACGCUGGCGGCAGGCUUAACACAUGCAAGUCGAGCGGGGGAAGGUAGCUUGCUACUGGACCUAGCGGCGGACGGGUGAGUAAUGCUUAGGAAUCUGCCUAUUAGUGGGGGACAACAUCUCGAAAGGGAUGCUAAUACCGCAUACGUCCUACGGGAGAAAGCAGGGGAUCUUCGGACCUUGCGCUAAUAGAUGAGCCUAAGUCGGAUUAGCUAGUUGGUGGGGUAAAGGCCUACCAAGGCGACGAUCUGUAGCGGGUCUGAGAGGAUGAUCCGCCACACUGGGACUGAGACACGGCCCAGACUCCUACGGGAGGCAGCAGUGGGGAAUAUUGGACAAUGGGGGGAACCCUGAUCCAGCCAUGCCGCGUGUGUGAAGAAGGCCUUAUGG